rnacentral:tRNA from 1 species
CAAGGCGGAAGSUGCGGGUUCGAGCCCCGUCAGUCCCG